rnacentral:lncRNA from 1 species
GCUUGGGUCCACUUCCACACUGCCGAGUGUACUUUCAUUUUCAAUAAAUUCCUGCUUUUGUUCUUUUGUUGCUUCAUGCUUUCUUUGCUUUGCUGGGCAUUUUGUCCAAUUCUUUGUUCAAAACACCAAGAACCUGGACAACUUGCAGUCAACACCCUCUACCAGUGACACUGGGAGCAGAGUGGGGGGUGGGGAUUGACCUAUGUAACAAAACCUUCAUAAAGUUCCUAAAUGACAAGGGUAGGAGCACUUCUGGGUUGGUGAACACAACUAUGUCAGAAAUAAUAAGUUUCUCUUCAAAGCUCCCUUGGUCUUUCUUGCUCUGUACACAGGCCCCACCCCUUGCUUAAUUUGUAAUUAGCAAACCUCUAUAUGCCCAGACAUGCCCAGACUUGUUCUGUAAACUACCUUUCCCACCUUAGCAACAGUCUCUUCCUCCCCUCCUCUUGCAAACGGCAUAUUUACCAUAUGUAGAAAAGUUUAAGUCUUAGCCAAUAAUUGGGUUAGAUUGUUCAGUCCAACUCAAGCCAAUGGGGAGAGGACACAGUAACAGGAGCUGCGUUAGGGAUAAAAACUUUUCUCUCCUUUGUUUGGUAUGCUCUUGCAAUCAGACGGAUGCAGGCAGCACCCUUCUGCAGAAGUAAAUGUGCCUUGCUGAGAAAUGUUCUGUCUAAGUGCUGGCUUUUCUUUGAGGCACUGAGCACUUGUUUCUAACAAAAUGGGGGCACAUCUGGGAUCCCAUUCUCCUCCGGAGAAGGGUCUCCAAUCAUCUCUUGUGAGGAGACGUGUCUCACUGCAGCAGCCUCAAGAAUGAGGGAUUGAGACCCACCAGCAUGAUGAAUAUACCGAGACUCUCAGCAACAUGGAAGGAAAAGGCCUACAGAUGCCAUGGUGACCAAGUAAUUCUGUGCACAGACCAAGGAGGAAGGUAACAAAGUCAAUAGUUACAAAGCAGA